UUGUAAGAUGAUGUGAUUUAGGACUUAAUAGUAAUGUUAAAUGAGUUUGUUGAUGUGAAGAGAGUUUAGCUCAGGUACACACCGC
rnacentral:rRNA from 1 species